AGCAGCCGCGGUAAUUCCAGCUCCAAUAGCGUAUAUUAAAGUUGUUGUAGUUAAAAAGCUCGUAGUUGAAUUUCGGGACUAAUAUGUCGGUCGUACUUUGUACGUACUAGCAUUAUUGGUUUCUCCCUUCUGACGAACCACGAUGUCAUUAAUUUGGUGUCGUGGGAAAUCAGGACUGUUACUUUGAAAAAAUUAGAGUGUUUAAAGCAAGCUCGCGCUUGAAUACAUUAGCAUGGAAUAAUGAAAUAGGACGUUUGAUUCUAUUUUGUUGGUUUCUAGGAUCGACGUAAUGAUUAAUAGGGAUAGUUGGGGGCAUUAGUAUUCAAUUGUCAGAGGUGAAAUUCUUGGAUUUAUUGAAGACUAACUACUGCGAAAGCAUUUGCCAAGGAUGUUUUCAUUAAUCAAGAACGAAAGUUAGGGGAUCGAAGACGAUCAGAUACCGUCGUAGUCUUAACCAUAAACUAUGCCGACUAGGGAUCGGAUGAUGUUAAUUUUUAAUGACUCAUUCGGCGCCUUACGG
rnacentral:rRNA from 1 species